UAACCUCAUACCACUAGCCUGAGGCUGAAUUCAGUACCGUAACAAUAGCAAUCACAUCCUGACUGAAACAAACAGAAGGAUCCACGCUGCUUGAUUCAGUAUAAUAUCAAAUUGGCACCACAAGUUGGUUCAGGAUUUAGCUACCAGUAAACAUCACGUGGAUGGAGCCACAUGGGAGAUGGGGCACAAAUCUGACUACAUCACCUCGGGGAAACCUCACAACUAACAACACUGCUCGUGCCAUAAUAUAUUCAUUCCCACGCAAAUUCAUGCAAGCCUACAUACAAAUCGGCAAAAAUAAGGCAUGCAUCCAGGUGAACGAGGAAUAUUAGGAAACGGAAAAGAUUAACCUGCCAUGGCAAUCAUUUAAAACAGAACCGCGCCGCAAUACUUGCAUGUCUGGAAGAUUGACCACACUGAUACCAACAAGUAAAAGCAAUAUUAGAAAUCAUUCAAAACAUAACAAAAAUGACAUCGCUUCAUAUAGCUCAAGUAAGCUACCAAGACAAUGUUGUGGUCCUUCACAGAGAAAACGCAGAAGCUUUGCGACUUGAUGCAUUGAUAGAAGUACGCACAACCCUCUGAGUAAGCGCCCCCAUGAACAUGACUACAAAAAAAAAUGCACCCAUUGUGCUGUCAAAAAUGAAGAAAAAUCAUGAGGCCGGAACGAAAAGACGCAAAUCAGAACUCAAACUCGAAGCACUCACAUCCUUGUUGUUUGUGAACUGGAUAGGUCAAGGUUGGCCACAGCUUUACUGGUCAAGGCCCACUGCCUAACCGAACCCUAGCUCAGAGGAGUAAAAUGUGUGCUAGAGCGUCCUGGAAGGGUGAAACGGAGUAGGGGCAUUUGCUGCUAUAUCCUGUAAAAACAAGGGGUGACUACAAGCAUGGUGGCAAGUGGCAAUAGAAGGAGAUUGUGAGGGUUGGCAGAGCCAAGUCCUAGAUCAUUGAGUUCUCGUUGGUUUAAGUUUCAUGCAGCACAUGUGGGUGGAGAUUGUUAGGGAGGAGGGUGGAGCAAGGAAGGUUUUGAGAGUUCACGCUUAAUAAAUCUUGAUAUCGCUUGUACAUUUUUAAUGGAGUGGACCAUGACAUGGUUUCCAACAUUCCAUGUUUCCACUGAAUGUGGUUUCAAUGUGAUAAUCUUAAGAGGAAAAAAACAACAUCAUAGAACCUAUUUUUAAGUACUCAGAGGACCAUAAUAUCAGAGUGCAACAUUUGGCUACCGUACAACAUUUACAUCUACUAAGAGCAAUAAAAUAUGAUAUUGAGAUAAAGAAACAAUUCAUCUGAACGUAAUAAGCAAAUAAUUGUACCUGCCACUUUUCUCUGUCUUCUAUAAAGAGCUCCAUGGAGAGUAACCCCAACGCCUCGUGCUAUAUGCACUCUACCUAUUGUAGAUAGAGAAGAAUACACAUAGCAACCCCAGCACCUCGGUAAUCAAAUUUUAUCUGAACCAGAUAACAAGAAUCCUGCCAGCACAAAUGAUUUAGGAUACUCCUUUUGAAAUUGCAACAGCAUGCUAUCAUAGGAAAAUUAUUUAAAAUACCAAUACCUUCAAAGAAGAUAUAAAAGAUGAAAAAUAUAUUGAUUUCAGAACUUCAUGGUCAUCUGAGUCCUAUUAAGAGUCAUGUGUCUACUACACAAAUUACCGAAAAGACACGGACACCCGGC
rnacentral:lncRNA from 1 species